AUUGAUCAGUUUGUUCAAUGUAUUUCAGAUUGAAUUUUGCUCUGGUUUAGUAUAUUUUAGUUAACAGAAAUAGCCUCUCUGCGAAGCAGGGGUAAGGCUGCACACAUUUGAGUGUGAGAUAUUUCGUGCACUGGUUCACCCUUAGUGUAUCAAUCAAUUCUAUAAUUUGGUUGUUAGUGGUUUUGCAUUGUGAAAUGUGGUUUUUAUGUUUGCUAUGAUAACAUGAUCUUGUUUUAUGCAGUGGCAAAACGAUUGAACUUGAU
rnacentral:misc_RNA from 1 species